AGUAAAAUAGAACAAAGGUAGUUCAUUAGGUUCAUAUUCUAAAGGUUAAAGGUUCAAAUCCUUUUUUUACUA
rnacentral:tRNA from 1 species